rnacentral:rRNA from 1 species
CCUACGGGUGGCAGCAGUGAGGAAUAUUGGUCAAUGGCCGCGAGCCUGAACCAGCCAAGUCGCGUGAGGGAUGACGGUCCAGUGUAUUGUAAACCUCUUUUGUCAGGGAGCAAAGGCGGCGACGAGUGGCGUUUUGCGAGUACCUGAAGAAAAAGCAUCGGCUAACUCCGUGCCAGCAGCCGCGGUAAUACGGAGGAUGCGAGCGUUAUCCGGAUUUAUUGGGUUUAAAGGGUGCGCAGGCGGAAUGUCAAGUCAGCGGUAAAAGCUCGGGGCUCAACCCCGUCGGGCCGUUGAAACUGGCGUGCGUGAGUGAGAGAGAAGUAUGCGGAAUGCGUGGUGUAGCGGUGAAAUGCAUAGAUAUCACGCAGAACUCCGAUUGCGAAGGCAGCAUACCGGCGCCAAACUGACGCUGAGGCACGAAAGCGUGGGUAUCGAACAGGAUUAGAUACCCCUGUAGUC